rnacentral:lncRNA from 1 species
UACAAUGUAAAAUAUUUUGCCCCAUAACACCCAUUUAUUUUUGCAUAUAAAACUUAAUAGCUCAUGAAAGGCCAUUUACCAAAGUUUUAGAAGAUUCUUGAUUUUUUUACUUUUGUUUUGGGACCCAAAUGAUACCAAUGCAAAUAUAAGGUAAAAGUCUGAGUCAGCCUUUUCCCGCCAUAUUUUAAAUCUCAAAUAUCUCGAAAAGGAGGUCCAUGACCUAUCAAUAUUUUUAGCUUAUCUUUAUCCUUAAUUGAUGCUGUACCAGCUUAUAGUAUUAAUUUUAAUUUCUUAAUUUCUUAAUGUUUACCUAACCUCACC